GUGCCAGCAGCCGCGGUAAUUCCAGUCUCCAAUAGCGUAUAUUAAAGUUGUUGCAGUUAAAAAGCUCGAAGAUGAACCUUGGGCCUGGCUGGCCGGUCCGCCUCACCGCGUGUACUGGUCCGGCCGGGCCUUUCCUUCUGGGGAACCUCAUGCCCUUCACUGGGCGUGUUGGGGAACCAGGACUUUUACUUUGAAAAAAUUAGAGUGUUCAAAGCAGGCCUUUGCUCGAAUACAUUAGCAUGGAAUAAUAGAAUAGGACGUGUGGUUCUAUUUUGUUGGUUUCUAGGACCGCCGUAAUGAUUAAUAGGGAUAGUCGGGGGCAUCAGUAUUCAAUCGUCAGAGGUGAAAUUCUUGGAUUGAUUGAAGACUAACUACUGCGAAAGCAUUUGCCAAGGAUGUUUUCAUUAAUCAGUGAACGAAAGUAGGGGAUCGAAGACGAUCAGAUACCGUCGUAGUCUUAACCAUAAACUAUGCCGACUAGGGAUCGGACGGUGUUAGUAUUUUGACCCGUUCGGCACCUUACGAGAAAUCAGAGUUUUUGGGGUUCUGGGGGGAGUAUGGUCGCAAGGCUGAAACUUUAAAGAAAUUGACGGAGGGCACCACCAGGGCGUGGAGCCUGCGGUUAAUUUUGACUCAACACGGGGAAACUCUCCCGGUUCCAGACACAAUAAGGAUUGGACGAUUGGAGAGCUCUUUCUUGAUUUUGUGGGGUGGUGGGGCAUGGCCCGUUCUUAGUUGGGUGGAGUGAUUUUGUUCUGCUUUAUUUGCCUAUACCGAACGAAACCUUAACCUUGCUAAAUAGCCAGCUCGCUUUGGGGGGUCGCCGGCUUCCUAAAGGGGACUAUCGGGUUCAAGCCGGAGGAAAGUUUGGAGGGAAUAAACAGAGCUUUGGGAUGCCCUC
rnacentral:rRNA from 1 species